rnacentral:lncRNA from 1 species
GCAAGACUGUUGGAAUGAGCUUGGGAGCUUCGCUCACCCCACCCUGGGUGCCUGUUACCAGAAAUUGCAUGACCCUCUUAUAUGUUUCUUCCCACACAGAAACAUGAUGCUGACAAUGACCCUCAUCUUACGGAUGAAACCAAGAAAAGCAAGAAAGCCAGCAAAACCAGGGAGAGCCCUAAAGAGGCAGAGGUGAGUGGAGGGUGUGAAGUUCCCUCCUGUCCUCUGGAGAGUGUUGCUUUCCUUUUCUUUUAGCGCUUGCUUGGCUUUUCUCCCAAAGGUUCAAAUCCAGAGAACCAACAUACUGAUGUCUGAGAAAGGAAAAUUAAAUACUGAACUCUAUCAUAUGCAAUGUGCUGCCAGGAACUUUGAAGGAGAGUCCACGGAUCUGGCCAGCCACCUGCAGUAUUCCCAGCAGCGUGUGGGAGAGUUGGAUUGGACUCUUUGCUGUCUCGACGCAGCAGAAGAACAUGGACAGGUAUAACAAGGAGGUAACCAAAGACAGAGAUGCCCUCAGGCUGAAGUUAUACAAGAACAGCCAAAACAAUGAGGACCUGAAGCAGAAGAACUCAGAACAAGAAGAGAAGCUUCAAGUCCUAGUGACUGCGAAGUCAGGGAUUUAACUCAACUUGAAGGAGCUGCACAGGAAGCUGGAGAGGACUGAGCUCCUGCUUCAGGCAAGAGGCUGCAGCCCCAGGGGUGGUGGGAGCCCCAUCCAGCUGAGGACAUGGUCUAGGGAUCAUGCAGGGUAUGGGGAGGCUCCAGCCAAGAGCUGGAAAAUUUGGGUCCUUGUUCUGGUCCUGCCAUAGAAUCCUCUAGAGACUGCUAAAAAUCUACAAACUGGGGCCCUGCCGUAGACCUGGGGAAUCAGAAUCUCAGGGUUAGGGCUUACAUUUUUUAAAAAAUUGCAUCAUGGAUGAAAACCAUUAUUUUAUAGAUUACACUUAUAUGGCUAGCUCAUGAGUCUGUUUAUUUCCUUCUGAGGUUCAAGCCAACACUUCAACUAUUC